UUCCUUGUAGUGUAUACUAACACCUUACAAUUUCACUGUAAAAAAAAGAUUAACUUCUAGGAUU
rnacentral:tRNA from 1 species